UGGAUCUUUUGUUUCAUGCUGAAUUAUUAUUCUUGGGUGACUUGUAGAUAUCUUAGUUCAUAUCCCACACGGAUUAGACUUGUGUUUAUAUUCUUUAUAAAUAUUAACGUGCAGCACUCGCUCUUUUCAUGAAGGGCAGUCCGCCUCGUGGAUCGAUUUUGGAGUCAUAAGUUAAUGUUUCCUUCUCGGCCAUUAAUGAAUGGGACCCUUCAGCAAGCCUGGCGGUUGCUGCCUUGAGUCGAUAUCUUCCCAGUCCAAGCAUUAGAGGUAAGAUUUUGGGUAUUUAGUAGAAGAAGAUGCGAAUGUCUGACCUCUUGUGUGCCCCCCCUGUUUUUCACCUUUUUGUUAGGACUAGGAGUAGGAAAUACAUGGAGAAAAGAGGGACGGGGGGUGCUGGGAACUGGAAGGAAGUAGAAGGAAAUGUGCACUCGAGAGUACUCAUGAAAACUAAAAACUAAAAAUGAAAACAAUUUGGUAGGUUUUCUUUAUCUAGUUUUUGUUUCUUUCGUUCUCCUUCAUUUCUCUCUCUUCCCGCCCUCCUCACUCCAAUUUUAUCUAGUUUUUGUUUCUUUCAUUCUCUUUCAUUUCUCUCUCCUCCCACCCUCCUCACUCCAAGCAUUUCCUCUAUCUCUAUCAAGAAAAUUAAAACUACAUAUGAAAUAGUUAUCAAACGAACCUUUCGUUGAAUACUUAAUAGGUUGUUAACACAAAUCAAAUAGAGUUUGAAUACAUGUAAAGCUAUCUCCUAUAAUUGAGGAAUACGUACAUUUCCAAUGUGCAUUUGAAAAUGUGCACUAAUCACAAUUGCUCUUGCACGUUAGGGAUUUGAGGUAAUGGGAAAAUAACCAACCCUCCAUGAUACAUGGGAGUUGGCUGCCAUUGCCGCUAUAAGUACAAGAAUUCCCUGCUCACAGAUAUAGUGUUAUGCGAUAUAGGAUCUAUCACUAUAUGAAUAUAAAGGUCUCCUAGCUAGUAGAAGAAGUUCUUGGGUUGCAACAAUGUCUUCAAUAGGUAAGUGUUCUAGUCCUAUACCUCAAUAUGUGAUUUAGGGUUCAUGUUGUUGAAUUAGUGGCCAAGUGGCCAAAAGCAUAUAAUAAAAAAUUAUGGACAUAAUGAUGUGGAAACAUCAUUAUGAGGAGACAAAUGAUUAUGUUUCCUUUUGUUUUGGCUUUUUCAAAGGUAGAAAAUUCAGCUUUUGUCCCUCACUUGUUGCCUUUUUGGAAAUGAGAAAAACGGAAGGAGAGUUGUGAAAGGUGCAGAAAAUAGUUGUAAAAGGUGCAGAAAAUAGAGAGCAUUUUCUGAAGGUAGUUGUAGAGUGCACCAGAAAAACAGAGAAGAAAAAAUAGAAGUGCAGCAGCCCCUCUUUGAAGAGAAGAAGAAAGUGCUCAUCUCUUUGGUUAGUAAUCAUCCACCAAGGUAGUUGUUGUUGUAAUAGCUUUGAGCUUUGUAUAGAGAGGAAAUUAUUCAUUAUAUUUCUCUCUAUUUGUUUCUUUGGUGUGUGAGAGCUAUUGGUUGUAUUGGGGUUUGGGUUGUGAGCUUACCAACACUUUGUAAACUUCCAUUUGGUUGAUAGUGGAUUAUUGGGUGAGCUCCUACUGCUCCGAGGACGUACUCCAGUUACACUGACUGUUGAGGAACCUCGUUAAAAUCUUGGUGUCUUUUAUAUUUUGUUCUUGCAUUCCAUUUGAUAUAUUUCCUAUGGGUUAGCUUGAGUUGGUUCCAACGGGUUUGGUGCUAUCCUAGCACAACACAUGUUAAGAUCAUAUGAGUUCCAACACAAGGUUGUACUGAAUUUCUCAAUCAAUAUUAAGAGUUUGCCCACUGAUAGUCUCCCUAAUAUUAUGUGUUCAAUAUCUAGGGUUCAUUCACCCUCCAGCGUUGGAACAUCAUUUUUAUCUGAUUACAACCCGCUGAUUGAUAUGAUUAAGUUCAGUACCUUGUGUGUAUCAUUUCUUUUAGUUGAUUGAGUUGUUAGAAAAAGUGAAAAUUACUGAUAGUGGUUUGCCACUAUGCUCCUAAAUGUAUCAGGAAAAGAAAGGAGUGGGAUGUAUACGAACCCAUCGUUGAUCUUCUAUCUACCGUGGAAGUGGAGGCCCUUGAAGUGAAAGAAGAAAGGAUUGCUCGGUGAAUUAUAAAACAGCUGCGAUGGUUUAAAUUAAGUUGUGUAGGGUGUAAGAACCAUGUUGAGUUGUCCAGUGUUGUGUUUCGAAUCACAGUUAGAAGGAUGUUACUUGCAUGGCAAGUAAUCAGCCUUCAAUGUGAUUAGCUGAUUGAUUGGCAUGCAUCGUGGAAUUGUUAGCUCAUUAGUUGACUAUUGGAAAGACCUAAUUAAGGAAGACCUAAUUAAGGAAGAUAUCACGUACAUGCCUUGGUAGGACAAUAUGAUACGCCCCGAUCCCGAUAUUCCCCGAAUACCAGGAUAGGCACGUGCUGGCCGACACCCGAGGGUGACGAAAGCCAUUUAUUGAUGCAAUUGCUGAAAAUAAAGGAUAACUAAGACUUAUAAAUAUAAAAGAAUAAGCAUUUAAGGAACGUGUUCAAAGCAUACGACUAACUAGAAUACUAAAAAAAACGAUAUAAAAUUUGAUGAACAAAAGAAUGGGUCCCACACCAAAAGAACUCGAAGACGCCGAUGCGGAAGUGCCUGGAUGCGGAAGUGCCUGAAGGGGGCGCAAAACAAACAUGAGUGGACCAAGUUGAUAUAUAUAUAUAAUAAAACAGUUAUCAACGUACUAACCCCCAGGUUUAUGAAAACACAUAUAUAAUGAUAAACGUAUGUUUUCCGAAACCUAGCAUGAUGUGCAGUAUCUCAAAUCAUAACUCAUAUAUAAUAAUCACUAGUGAAUUGUCCGAUAACCCCCAGGCCCCAUGCCGGCUCCCAAUCUCUGAGCAGACAGUCAGAGGAAAAUACACUUCAGGCCCCAUGCCAGCUCCCCGUCCCUGUGCUAAAUAGCCAGAGGAAACACACUUCAGGCCCUAUGCCAACACCAAACCGUCGCCCGGGACGGACCGGAAUCUAUCCCUACGUCCCGUAGCGGAAAUGACCACUAGGUAAGUACAAAACCAUUGAACAUAUAUAUAUUGAAAAACAACUUCAGAGUAUAAAGUCAUCCAUCAUCUAUACUAUAAAGAGGUGUUCGAAACUUGUUCUAGUAUCAUAUCGUCAUCCAUCAGAUAUUCUAUAAGAACACGGGUUAUAGGAAAAAUAGUAAUAAUUCAAAGUAGCCUCAGUAAGCAUGUUAUCUCACAAAACAUUUCAUAAAACGUAAUCAUCAAAUCAUGCUUUUCAUGUAUGCAUUUCUACUAUUAAAACAUGUAUUUAAGAAGGGGUCCACUCACAGUACUUAGUUGCCAAAAGUUGCGCCACUAGCGAAGACAGAACGUCACAAUAAUUGCCCCUAAGCACAUAAAUGGUACAAUAAAUAAAACUAUAUAAUAGAAAUUGAAUUUGGGAAAACGGACAUUGGAAACGGAUCCAGAACGUCGAAUUACCCUAAGAAGGGUUUGAAUUAAAUAAAAUAGGGAAUUUGGAAUUGAAUGGGUUUAGGGUUUUAAAGGAUUUGGGUUAUAAAGGGUUUAGGGUGAAAAUGGGUGAUUUGGGCCUAAGCCCAAACACACACACGCACCACACAAACACACACAUGCACGGCAUGCACAUGCAUGCAAGCAUGCAUAUCACACACGUACACAUGCACUUAUACACACACACACAAACCACAAAGGCCUUAAGGCCUCACACAAGGACCGGGCUUUAAGCCCUUUCACUCAAAACCGGCCCAAGGCCCUUUGGGUUGCUGAAAAUAAAUAAUUAAAUAGAAUAAAAACGGGCUGGGCUAGGCAGGGAAGGCCCAAAGCCUUGGGUUUUGGUGGGUCGCCGGAUCCAAUGGGAGAGAAGGCCGGAAAUUCGAUAAUAGGAAGUAUUGGUAGAAACUCUUAGGGGGUGUUUGUUUUCCCUCACUAAAGUUCACUGGACUGGACUGGACUAAAGGUUAGUCCAGUCCCGUGUUUGUUUCCCAUAGGGCUUAGAGUUAAUGAGACUAGCUCUCACUCGUCCCGACUAAAACAGGGCCUAGCCGGUCUUUGCUAAGCCCCCCAAAAACCAUGGGAUUGCUAAUCCCGUCUCCAGAACUUGCAUAGGACGAUCGCAUGCAGCAAGUCUUAUGAACUACAAAUUUGCAAGAAUGCUUCUGGGCGACUCCGUUUGCCAACCCAUGUCUAGAUCUAAAACACAGCCCUACCCACUGCCUAAAUCUCAACACCAAAAUUCAAAAACAUAUAUGCAAAACGAUAACAACAACAAUCCCAAUAGCAAAAUUCUUCCUUAUUCCCG
rnacentral:lncRNA from 1 species